rnacentral:lncRNA from 1 species
AAAGUUUAACCUACCAUGUGUCAAGCAUUUGCCCCAGGUUUUUUUUUAAUAUAUGGUUUACAUUUUUCUUACAUAAUGUAAAAAAAAAAAAAAAAACCCCAACACACACACACACACACACACACACAAUAUUCAAUCGGAGUAAGGAGAAAAUAGGGAGGAAAAGGUGUUGCAUAUUAAAUAUUUUUUUAUUUAAUCAUAGUUUGUACAAGAAAUUAAU